rnacentral:misc_RNA from 1 species
AAGUCGUAACAAGGUUUCCGUAGGUGAACCUGCGGAAGGAUCAUUAUCGAAUUUUGAAGACCCUUUUGGUUGUCGCUGGCCUUUUGUGAGGCAUGUGCACGCCGACUGUGGUUUCCAUCAUCAACCCCUGUGCACCUUUGCGUGAGCUCCCAUCGGCCGUCACCUUUGGGGGUUUGCGAUCUUUAUCAAACUCAACUGUAUGUCUAUAGAAUGUCAUCUUGCGGUAACACGCAUUUUUAAUACAACUUUCAACAACGGAUCUCUUGGCUCUC